rnacentral:antisense_RNA from 1 species
CUCUUCGAAAGUCUUCCAUUCUUCAAACUAGAUUAUUUAAAAAUGAAAAAGGAAGAAAGGAAAGCGAGGUCAUCUCAUUGCUCUAUCCGCCAAUCAGGAGGCUGAAUGUCAGUUUUGAACUAAAAGCCGCUCCGCUCCUCUUCUAGAUUUGGAAAACAAGCGAAAUUAAACUAAACCGCUGCACGCCUCUGACGCGACAUCUGGACACGGCGCGGCGCUGGCGCUGCCGGAGCUGUCGGCCCGGCCUGGCGCCGGACUAGUGUCCCUUUUGAUGAGAAGAAUAAGCCUCAUUGUGAUUCAACAGCAGAGAUCAAAGAAAAGACUUCUGUUUUCUGGCCACCAGAUAUAUGUUAUCUGUGCUUAAAGAAUUGAAAAACACACAUCAAAGGAGAAUUCUCUUGGAAAGAGAGGGUUCAAGCAUCACUGUUAGGUGUGCUGGAAUCCUUUCCCGAGUCAGUACUGCUUUCUAGAAGAAAACCGGGGAGAUCUAUUUGGAAUGUAUCUAACUCCAAAGGAACCAUCAGAGGUAACAGUAGAGACGGGGUUUCACCAUGUUGGCCAGACUGGUCUUGAACUCCCGACCUCGUGAUUCGCCCGCCUUGGCCUCCCAAAGUGCUGGGAUUACAGGUGUGAGACACCAUGCCCGGCGGAUAGAGAGAAUUUUGACAGAUUGGCUUCUCUCACAUGGCAAGAAACAUUGCUGCUAGCACUUCCCGAGUUCUAUGUUCUACAACAUCCACCACUGGAUCUUAACAUAGACGUAAGAUCAAAUGUAAUAGCAUGUCAAACAAUGUGUAACUCCAGUUAUACAAACAUUACUGUAUCUCAUUGGGGAUACGAAGCUCUACACACUUGAAGAUGGUGAAGGAAUAUAAAAAUCUAUGUGUCUCACAGUCCAGACUUGGAGUACAAGUAAUAAGAAGAAUAAAACUUAAUCCCUCAAGUAGAUUCACCAUAAGUUAGCUCAGAGCAAUUCCAGUGCAAGUAUGGUCUGUGAUCCAAUAGUAUCUUACAGACAGCAAGUUGAACAUUGUGGGAUGCAUAAGCUAUUGAGGCCUUUGCAGCUUUCUGCUACAUGGAGGCUACGGCCAGAGUCAACAUUUAUGCUUUGCAGCACACUGGUCAGCUGUUUUUGCAAAUCAGAUUAAAUAAUUUUUAAAUGAGGCUGAGAGCAUGGGAGAUACUAAUGUGUGUUUCCUUGUGAGCUACUGCAUAAGUUAGGAAAUUGAAAUACAGAAAGAUGAAAAGUGAUUUGCCCAAGUAUAUAGAUCAAAACUGUGGCAGA